UCUCCCUCUCUCUCUGCCCCUCCAUGGUUUGCUCUCUCUUUCUCUCUCUUUCUCAGAAAAUAAACAAAUAAACAUUAAACAAACAAAACUGGGGGCUCCCAAACCACCUUCACUUUUGAUAAUUCUCUGGAAGGCCUCCCAGAACUCACAGAGGCACUCCCCGUGGCUGUGGUUCCUGAUGAAGCCAGCUAAGGGAAAAGUGCAGAGGGCAAAGUGUGGGGGCCUCCACACGCCAAGCUGCCGUCGCCUCCCAUGCAGUCAGGGCGUGUGACACGCCCAGCCUGGGUGUGUGAGGAUUGCAAACCAGGGAGGCUUGUCUGCUGUUCAGUGUUUAUUGGAGCUUCCAGGAUGUGGGCGUGACUGAUUGAUUGAUUGCUCUUGUGGCUGAAGUCAGUCUUCAGGUCAACUUGACGAUGCAUGACGGGAUCUCCCGGCUACAUCACCUGGAUGGGUCUUUCUGGCACGACCAGCCUCCACCUUAGAGUACAGAUUGGCCUGCCCUCGCCUAAACAAAGACGCUUUUAUCAGGUGCGGCAUAGAUUACCUCCCAGAAGGCAAAGACAAAGGCCAGACCUCCUCUUCAGGCAAGCCCAAAUUCUUUACUGCACCACCUGGCCUUUAUCCAAAGCUCUCCUGCAGCAAAAUAAACAUAUGCCCUAACGUUUGGAGGUGGCAGCGUGGAGUAGGAGGCUCUUAACUCAGUUUUCAGACUAUCAAUAUCAGCGGUGCAAUCUUCCCGGUGACACGGUACCAACGUUACACCACAUCACAGUGUGGGGAGUGGACGUAACCUGAAGGGUAAGAGUCACAAGACGGUGGCGUAUUACUGAAAUUCCACUCAAUCAUCAACAACCGGCCCAACUCGUCAUCAUGUCAUACGACCACAAUGGGUCCCAAAGCAUUCCCACUCAGACUAUCUACUGUUGGAAGGAACGCGCGCGAAGUUCAGCCCGGUGAUACGCUGUUCCUGAUUGCCUGCACUGACACUACUUGAGGAAAUGCACCCCCCUCAGUCCAUUCCCCUUCAUACAAGAGCUACACAGUCAUACCAGCGUUCUCCCUCACCCCUUCUGCAGACCCCCCAGAAAAGCAGAGAAAUCUACCGAGUAAGCAACACCCUCAUGAAGAUACCCGUCAAAUAAACUCAGGCUGGACAACUGAAUGAUGAGAGAUCACAUAGCGGAGAGAGGCCCAGCCAGCCCACCCGGAGGCACUAGAAAUAGGAGUGAAGCCAUCUUCAAUUCCUCAGCCCUGGUCAAACCACCCCAGCCAACACUACGUGGAACAGAGGCUCCACAGAGUUCUGCUGAAUUUGCAGUCAUGAGAAAAAAUAAAUGGUACUUUGAGCCGG